rnacentral:lncRNA from 1 species
UUUUUCUUCUCAAUCUCUCUCCCUCGUUCUCAAUCUAUUCAGCCAACCUCCAUCACCACCACUACAUCCAGCCACCACCACCGUAUCUAGAAACCACCACCACCAAAUCCGUCCACCAAGCACACCAAAGACAAACCCGAUGCCAUUUAUGAUACCCUUUCAACUCACAACCAGUCACCACAUGUGAUUGUAUCACCAGAGCUGUUUUUAAAUCUCCUGCAUCUUUGGGUUCGAGGACUGCUCUUAGCAGAACAAGAUUUGGGCUUAGGCGAUGAACAAUUUGAUGUGACCCCAUCCCGAUUCGCCUAAUUUAAGGCCAGCGCAGGAGAUUGGUGAGCCGACUCCUUCAAAUUAGCUUCCAAAUUAACCUGAGACAAAUUUCGAGGUGACGGAUUCGCAGCAGAUUUGAGCCGCAAAUCACCCAUAAGAGGUUCGAUUGGAGCUAAUACUUCAUUCUGUGAUAUCAAAUUAGGAGAUUGACCAUUUGGGGCUUGUUUUUAAUUUUUUCAGUUGAAAAAUAAAUAAAAUUCUAAUUUGACUUUGGCUUCUUGGUUUUGGUUUUGUUUGCAGAAAAUGUCAAAAUUGUUAUCCUAUUUGCUACUUUUGAAUCUGUUCAAAAUCAACAUUUUAGUAAAGUGGGUGUAG